GUUUUCCUGCUGUAGCCUCACCUUGCUGCUGAGCACAGAGUAGGAGCCUGCUGGGUGCCAGGUUUGGAUGUUUUAAUCUCUGAGUGGCUCCUACGACGUCUUCACGCGCUGCUUGGACAAUGAAAGUGAAUGACCAGCAGCUCUGUCACUACAGGAAGGUCUAUAAAGCUUGCAGAAUACACAAAAGCCAAACUCAGAACCACUCGGAAUAGGAAGAUUCAGCUGCUGGUUGCUUCUCUUCAUAGAACAAAGAAUUUCAUGUCUUUGGAUCUCUGUUUUUUUACACUCGUGGACUCAUGGACACGCAGCACUAAGCAGUGUAUUGCCUGGCACCCACUGGAUGUCUCACAGCAGCGAUGGUGCAGCAUUUGAAUGCUCUAUAACAUGUUUGCACUGACUUUAUUUUUUUCUGUCUUAGGCAUGUAAACUGGCUCCCGUGUUUACUUAAACAUCAUAAAUACGUUGGGGCCAAAGUGGUUUUGUUCUGUUUCUUCCCACGGGAUGUAUCCAAUUCAGGAUAUUAUUUUCAGAUAAUGGCUUAAAUGGGAAUAUGCGUGUUCACAUACUGCUAACAUGACUGCCAUAAUAAUAUGAUCUCUUUUAGGAAAUUAUGCAUGCAGAAUCAGCACGUUGAUAAGUGCUGUAUAAAGCUAAAAUUCAGAAGUGACAGUUAAUGACUUAUCUGUUGAAGGUAGCCAACUGUCCUAAGGAAAAAUAAUUGUUUC
ensembl:lncRNA